rnacentral:rRNA from 1 species
GAUGAACGCUAGCGGCAGGCUUAAUACAUGCAAGUCGAGGGACAGCACAGGUAGCAAUACUGGGUGGUAACCGGCAAACGGGUGCGGAACACGUACACAACCUUCCUUUAAGUGGGGGAUAGCCCAGAGAAAUUUGGAUUAAUACCCCGUAAUAUAGUUGAAUGGCAUCAUUUGAUUAUUAUAGCUACGGCGCUUAAUGAUGGGUGUGCGGCUGAUUGGAUAGUUGGCGGGGUAACGGCCCACCAAGUCUACGAUCAGUAGCUGAUGUGAGAGCAUGAUCAGCCACACGGGAACUGGGACACGGGCCCGACUCCUACGGGAGGCAGCAGUAAGGAAUAUUGGUCAAUGGACGCAAGUCUGAACCAGCCAUGCCGCGUGAAGGAUUAAGGUCCUCUGGAUUGUAAACUUCUUUUAUUUUGGACGAAAAAGGGCCUUUCUAGGUCAACUGACGGUACCAGAUGAAUAAGCACCGGCUAACUCCGUGCCAGCAGCCGCCGUAAUAC